UUAGUACUGAAAUACGCUUAGCCAACCUAGAGAUUUGAACUGUAAUGAUUGCGAUUUUCCUUACCUGUAUUUUAUAUGGCAUCUUUAGACCACCGUUUAUUAUGUACGUAAGUAAAUAUUGCCCGUUUAUUCGAAUUGAAAGUCGUCGUCUGCACUAUGUAUUAUGAUUCUCAUAAUAUCUCCGCCCCCCCCCCCGAUAACUAUUUUGUGGUCGACUCAUUAUCAAUCGAAGCUGAACUCUGCGCCCUUGCACAAAGCAGCGAAACAUCUCUUGUAAACACCUGAGAACCAAAGUAACACCUAUCACCCCCCCCAUAAAGCCCUAUAAAGCCCCCCCAUAGUCACCCCACCCCCCCCGACGUCGAUGGUUUGCCCCCCCACCCCCCACCCGCACCCCCUGAGUAACAAGUUUUCUGAUGAUUAUAUAUAUUAUGACAUUACAGCACGUGUGAUUUAUCUGACAGGUCUGUGAGGUAGCGGCGUUUCUUUCGGCGCCGUGGUUGUCGUGGAGACGCAGACAGACGUGGGGAAGGAAGGAAGGAAGGACAGUGUGUUUGUCUUACAACUCUCGGACUUCAAGUCUCGUUCUGGAUUCAAAUCUCGAGAUAUUUCCGUCCAUAAAGAACACAGGCAGGAAAGAUGGCGGCGGUGGCAGGACGUUGAUGCGUUCCCGCCACUCAGAAACAACGGAGUCAAUAAAAGAACCGCGCAACGUGUCAAACCGCAGAGAGACAGAAUAUAAACUUACUACUUUCAUUAUUGUUGUGUUAUAAAGCGGAACGAUGUUAAACGGAGGCACAUUAAUAAAGACGACCUCAAUCAUGUCCCGCCCCACUCCGCCUCUGAUUGGUUUACCCAGAUAUCUCAGCCUAGCUCUAACCAAUCACAGCCCUCAGAUCUAAAAGUAACCAAUCACAUGCGGAGGGGGGCGGGACAUGACUUUAUUUUAAAUAUAACUUUAUUUUAAAUAUAACUUUAAAAACAACAUUAAAGCGUUUGUACAAAAGGCUUUAAACUAUUAAAUUAAAGAAAAAUAAUAAAUAAAGGAUUAUAAAUUAUACAUAUUAAUCAUUUUAAAUGUUUCCAUUAAACAUUUCACCGGUCAGUUUAAUGACAGAAAAAAUAUUAAUAUUAAUAUUAUUAAUAAUAAUAACAGUUAUUAUUAAUAAUAGUAACUGUU
rnacentral:lncRNA from 1 species